rnacentral:rRNA from 1 species
GUGGAUGCCCUGGCAGUCAGAGGCGAUGAAGGACGUGCUAAUCUGCGAUAAGCGUCGGUAAGGUGAUAUGAACCGUUAUAACCGGCGAUUUCCGAAUGGGGAAACCCAGUGUGUUUCGACACACUAUCAUUAACUGAAUCCAUAGGUUAAUGAGGCGAACCGGGGGAACUGAAACAUCUAAGUACCCCGAGGAAAAGAAAUCAACCGAGAUUCCCCCAGUAGCGGCGAGCGAACGGGGAGGAGCCCAGAGCCUGAAUCAGUGUGUGUGUUA